GAUGAACGCUGGCGGCGUGCUUAACACAUGCAAGUCGAACGAUUAAAGCCCUCUUCGGAGGGUGUAUAAAGUGGCGAACGGGUGAGUAACACGUGGGCAAUCUGCCCCUCACUUCGGGAUAACCCCGGGAAACCGGGGCUAAUACCGGAUACUCCGGACGGGUCGCAUGGCCUGAUCGGGAAAGAUCCGACGGGGAGGUGUGAGACCGAGGCCCAUUAGGUUGUUGGUAGGGGAAUGGCCUACCAAGGCAACGAUGGGUAGCCGAGCUGAGAGGCUGAGCGGCCACACUGGGACUGAGACACGGCCCAGACUCCUACGGGAGGCAGCAGUGGGGAAUUUUGCGCAAUGGGGGAAACCCUGACGCAGCAACGCCGCGUGCGGGAUGAAGGCCUUCGGGUCGUAAACCGCUUUCAGCAGGGACGAAUGUGACUGUACCUGCAGAAGAAGCCCCGGCUAACUACGUGCCAGCCGCCGCGGUAACAC
rnacentral:rRNA from 1 species